rnacentral:rRNA from 1 species
UACGGGGGGGGCAAGCGUUUGUUCGGAAUUACUGGGCGUAAAGGGCUCGUAGGUGGCCAACUAAGUCAGACGUGAAAUCCCCAGGCUCAACUUGGGAACUGCGUCUGAUACUGGAUGGCUUGAAUUCGGGAGAGGGAUGCAGAAUUCCAGGUGUAGCGGUGAAAUGCGUAGAUAUCUGGAGGAAUACCGGUGGCGAAGGCGGCAUCCUGGACCGAGAUUGACACUGAUGAGCGAAAGCUAGGGAGCA